rnacentral:ncRNA from 11 species
GAGCCUUGGCCUAGCGGCAGGGCGUCCGCCUCCAGAGCGGUAGGUCGGCGGUUCGAAUCCGUCAGGCUU